ACAGUCCAGUACAAGUGUAUGUUUCAUCAUCAUGUGACUCCCUGGAAAUCAAACCCAGGUGUUUGUAAAGGUGUGUGUUUCAUUUAGCAUGUGUAUCAAACCCAGGUGUUUGUAAAGGUGUGUGUUUCAUUUAGCAUGUGUAUCAAACCCAGGUGUUUGUAAAGGUUUUUUUUUAUCAUUUAUCAUGUGUAUCAAACUCAGGAAUUUGUAAAGGUGUUUGUAUCAUUUGGCAUGUGUAUCAAACUCAGGAAUUUGUAAAGGUGUUUGUAUCAUUUAGCAUGUGUAUCAAACCCAGGUGUUUGUAUAAUUUAGCAGGUGUAUCAAACUCAGGUGUUUGUAUCAUUUAGCAUGUGUGCAUUUCAUCAGCAUGUGUGAUGGAUCAUUUCGCUUUAUCAGCUGAGCUACAAGAGCACAACAUUAGUAGUAUGUAUGUCCAUUUCUAUUGCACUGACUGGUCCUUAAAUGGGGGUCCUAAUUCGGUCUGCAGACCUAUUUACAGUGAUACAACCCAUCCAUUAUUUUUUAUUUUGAGAAGUUGUAAGGCAGGUGGCCUCUGUCUGACCUGUGAGUGUUGCAGUUAGUUUUUCAUGGUGUAAGCUUUUGGCAUUUUCACUGUGUUUGUCUUCCACCACGAUUUCCCCUUCAUGAGUCAUAUGCGCGUAUCUGGCCACAGUGAGUUUGACGGACAGGAGGAGGUUAACACUGUAGGGUCUCCGUCUCAGUCCUAUCUCAUCACCAUGUUGCAUAAUCACAUUACCAGCAGGAUCAGACGCUUUCCAUUUAUUCUCAUUUGUUCCGAAGGAGGCACAUUUCCUCAUAUUAGAAUCUGAAUAUGUACUGUAUGUCACGGUCAGAAAUUACAUUUGCAAAAACCAUGCCAUGUUGAAAGCAAUCAAGCCACUCAGAAUGCGUUUUAUUUAUUUAUGUAGAGAGUUUGGUAAGUAGCUGGUUAAUUGCCUCCACUUGUAUUUCCCAGAGUUCUGUGCUUUUGAGCCUGUGGGGAGAAAAUAUGAAAUAGUUUUUCGUGAUUUUGAAAAACUGUUUUGUGGAUGUCUGUUUUUACUGACAGUUAUGAAGGCAGCUGACAGUGAAGCCUUAGCUAAAGACUAUCAUUGGAAUCUUGCUAUAGAUCAUUAUAUCACAUUACUGUGUGUUUCGCUUAGUGACUCUGUAGUUCGACAGGGUUGGAGAUAUGUUUUGGCUUAUAUUGUCACGGUCUGUUUUCUGAAUGAAGCAAUCGUUUGAUUGGUUUGGAUCAUCAUUAGUGACAUAUGACAGUGACAUAUUAGUUUGAUGCAGUACAUAUGGAUCAUGUCAUAAUGGUUUGUUUUGUUGAAUGACGCAGUCGUUUAGUGGGGUUUGAUAGAUAUGAAUCUUGCCAUAAUGGUUGUCUCGGCUGAAUGAGGCAGCAGUUUAAUGGAGUCCGAUAUGUAUCAGUGAUCUCUCAAUAGUCUGUUUUGUUGAAAGACGCAUUAGCUCACUGGAUUUGAAAUGUACGGAUCGUGUCAUAAUUGUGUCUUGUUGAAUGACACAGCAGGUUGGUGGGGUUUGAUAUGUAUGGAUCUUGUCCUAACAGUUUGUCUUGUUGAGUGACGCAGCAGGUUGGUGGGGUUUGAAAUGGAUCAUGUCGUAAUGGUUUGUCUUGUUGAGUGACGCAGCAAGUUGGUGGGGUUUGGUGGGGGUUUGCGGGGCAGCCGUGUGGACUUGGGGAGUUCAUAGAGAGGGAUUAUCCCUGGUGACUCAGCUCCUCAUUCCGCUGCUACUGUGAUGUUUCCCCUUAUCCCACCCACUCACCAGCAGCAUCCUACACACAAAGAGACAGAGACAGGGAGGGAGAGACAAGGGACGGAGAGACAUGGAGAGAGACAGAGAUGGAGAG
ensembl:lncRNA